UACGAAGGUGGCGAGCGUUGUCCGGGUUUACAGGGUGUAAAAGGCGUGUAGGCGGGGAAACAAGUGAGAUGUGGAAUCCCGGGGCUUAACUCCGGAGCUGAAUCUGAAACUGUUUUUCUUGAGUGCUGGAGAGGAAAGUGGAAUUCCCAGUGUAGCGGUGAAAUGCGUAGAGAUUGGGAGGAACACCAGGGGAGAAGGCGACUUUCUGGACUGUAACUGACGGUUAGGCACGAAAGCGUGGGGAGCAAACAGG
rnacentral:rRNA from 1 species